CUCCAGGGGAUCUGGCACCCUCAAACAGACAUACGUGUUGAAAGACCCCCGGAGUGGGGAGACCCUCACUCAAGUCUCGGGAUGAUGCAACCCCCCAAGAACUCACACAAGACU
rnacentral:pre_miRNA from 14 species